GACGAACGCUGGCGGCGUGCCUAAUACAUGCAAGUUGAGCGCUGAAGGUUGGUACUUGUACCAACUGGAUGAGCAGCGAACGGGUGAGUAACGCGUGGGGAAUCUGCCUUUGAGCGGGGGACAACAUUUGGAAACGAAUGCUAAUACCGCAUAAAAACUUUAAACACAAGUUUUAAGUUUGAAAGAUGCAAUUGCAUCACUCAAAGAUGAUCCCGCGUUGUAUUAGCUAGUUGGUGAGGUAAAGGCUCACCAAGGCGAUGAGACAUAGCCGACCUGAGAGGGUGAUCGGCCACAUUGGGACUGAGACACGGCCCAAACUCCUACGGGAGGCAGCAGUAGGGAAUCUUCGGCAAUGGACGAAAGUCUGACCGAGCAACGCCGCGUGAGUGAAGAAGGAUUUCGGAUCGUAAAACUCUGUUGGUAGAGAAGAACGUUGGUGAGAGUGGAAAGCUCAUCAAGUGACGGUAACUACCCAGAAAGGGACGGCUAACUACGUG
rnacentral:rRNA from 1 species